rnacentral:rRNA from 1 species
UGAGUAAUGCAUCGGAACGUGCCCAUCGAUGGGGGAUAACUGCGCGAAAGCGUUGCUAAUACCGCAUACGACCUACGGGUGAAAGCAGGGGACCGCAAGGCCUUGCGUCGAUGGAGCGGCCGAUGCCGGAUUAGCUAGUUGGUGAGGUAAAGGCUCACCAAGGCGACGAUCCCGUAGCUGGUCUGAGAGGACGACCAGCCACACUGGGACUGAGACACGGCCCAGACUCCUACGGGAGGCAGCAGUGGGGAAUCUUGGACAAUGGGCGAAAGCCUGAUCCAGCAAUGCCGCGUGUGGGAAGAAGGCCCUCGGGUUGUAAACCACUUUUGGCGGGAAAGAAAUGGUCUGUGCUAAUACCACGGAUUGAUGACGGUACCCGCAGAAUAAGCACCGGCUAACUACGUG